GACAAGAAAUAACAACUACUAGGAUUUCUUAGAAGUGUAAUGAGGAUAAUUUACAAACCUUACCGAAUGCAAUUGGAGGGCAAGUCUGGUGCCAGCAGCCGCGGUAAUUCCAGCUCCAAUAGCGUAUAUUAAAGUUGUUGCAGUUAAAAGCUCGUAGUUGAAGUUCUGAUUGCUCAGGUUUCCAGCCUUAGGCGGAGAUACUGACAGUCAUCCGCUUGCAAACAUAUGUUCGAUCUUCACCGGUUGGCUAUGUGAGUAAGCACUUUACCUUGAGAAAAACAGAGUGUUCCAGGCAGGUUUUGUCCGGGAUGCAUUAGCAUGGAAUAAUAGAACAUGACUGAAGUCGAUUUAUUGGUUUAAGGCUUUAGUAAUGAUUAAUAGGAACAGUCGGGGGCAUUCGUACUCAGCAGUCAGAGGUGAAAUUCUAAGAUUUGCUGAAGACGAACUAAUGCGAAAGCAUUUGCCAAGGAUGUUUUCAUUAAUCAAGAACGAAAGUUAGGGGAUC
rnacentral:rRNA from 1 species